CAGCCAGUCAACAACUAACCACUUCCUCUUCUGUUGUACCUCCUCCACAAAUACAUGUAAAAGAUGAUGGUAAAGUUUCACUCUGUCUUUAUUUGAUGGUCAUCAUGUUCUGUUUAAACCAAGCAGCUCUGCUCUCUGUUCAACUCUUACUCAUUGUCCAUGUUCAUGCAGUGUUGGGGAAAGGUCCAGAUGAUCUCAGGAAUACACUGGUGUCCAGAGGAGACUCCGUCAUGCUCACCUGCAACAUAUCGAUAAAUAAUGGAACACAAACCAACUGGAACAAAGACAGAUUUUAUUUCACUUAUUCAUUCACAUAUAAUCUCAAUUCUUCCAAUUUCCCCUCUGACAGACUCAGAAUAGACGUUAAUUUAACCACAACGCUGAAUAUAUUUAAUGUUCAGCAUGAAGACGCUGGACUUUAUACAUGUAAUGUAACUGAUAUAGAUGGUGUAAAGACCAUAAGGUGGAAUCUAACAGUUUCUGAGAGCUCCAAAGGAACCAGACCAUCAUCGAAUGUUCUCUACAUACUCAGACCUGUAAUUGGAUUUAUUCUAUUUUGCUUCGUGUUAGCUGUCUACAUCUGCAGAAAAUACUGGAACACAACCCCAAACCAGGAUUCAAAUGAUAGCAGGACCUUGACUUCUGUCCAGUUUGUCCACUUGAAAUGAGAAUUGUGUCGUAUACAGCGUGAGACACAAGCGGAGUCAGUCAGUACUCUGAGCAGCUUUACUCUGUGGUUUCAACUGAGCUGAAGAGCAUGAAGUUCACAUUCAGACCGAAUUAG
rnacentral:lncRNA from 1 species